GCGACGAGACCACAAUUCAAAUUGCUCCGAUACCUUGCUGUCACACAUGGAGCAGUUACUUCGAGCAGUCAUCCUAAAGAUCGGUGUCUGGACAACAACCCUCCUGGAUGUACCUUCACAGUGCUGGUGCACACCAGGGAAGCUGCCACACGCAAUAUGGAAAAGAUUCAAGUCAUCAAGGAUUUUCCCUGGAUAGUAGCAGAUGAACAGGAGCUGCACAUGCGGGAACCCAGACUCAUUCCGCUGAAAACGAUGACGUCUGACAUCGUAAAAAUGCAGCUCUACGUGGAGGAAAGGGCUCAGAAGGCGUCUUAGCCCACACUCCGUUUCCCAUCAUGCCCGGCUGCUGGACUCGGCAGUGUCAGCAGUGUGCAGUGUGAGAAGGAAGACGCAAGGCUCGGGCCUGCUGAGGCAUUGUGCUUUAAAGCAGGCCAUGUAGAACUGCUGAUGUGAAGCAGAGGCACCGGCCUUUGACACACAGCCUGGAGACGAGACUUGGGGGAAUUCAAGCUACAUGUGAUUUCCUGUUAUGUCAUGCGCAUGUAAGGUCAAUCACACGGUGGACCUGAUAACUGGUGAUGUUUUGUAUAUUCAUACAUGCACGUGUGUAACCAUAACACAGAUUUAUAUAGCUAUCCAACACAGUCUGUAUCACAGAAAUGCCUUGGAAAAGAAUACAAUUGAUAAUUGUUCAUCGGAAAUUAGCUGAAUGUUAUUUUAUUUUUCCUAAUAUGUAAAUCAAUUUCAUUUACUUCCUGUAUUAUGCAUUAAAAACUGGGGUAUGAAACAUUUCCCAUUACUAUUCUUUAGUAUUUCUAUGUAUUACUAUACAUAGUAAAGAUUAUGUUAAAUUGGCUAUUAUUAGACCGCUUUCCUCUCCA